rnacentral:rRNA from 1 species
AGUCGUACGAGAGUUUUUAACUCAAGUGGCGGACGGGUGAGUAACACGUAAGAAUUUGCCUUUAGGAGGGGGACAACAACUGGAAACGGUUGCUAAUACCCCAUAUGCUUUCGAGUGAAAUGGAUUUUUCCGCCUAGAGAGAAGCUUGCGGCUGAUUAGCUUGUUGGUGAGGUAAUGGCUCACCAAGGCGACGAUCAGUAUCUGGUUUGAGAGGACGAUCAGACACACUGGAACUGAGACACGGUCCAGACUCCUACGGGAGGCAGCAGUGGGGAAUUUUCCGCAAUGGGCGAAAGCCUGACGGAGCAAUACCGCGUGAGGGAUGACGGCCUAUGGGUUGUAAACCUCUUUUUUCAGGGAGGAAUAAAAUGACGUGUACCUGAAGAGUAAGCAUCGGCUAACUCCGUGCCAGCAGCCGCGGUAAGACGGAGGAUGCAAGUGUUAUCCGGAAUCACUGGGCGUAAAGCGUCUGUAGGUGGUCCAAUAAGUCAACUGUUAAAUCUUGAGGCUCAACCUCAAAACCGCAGUCGAAACUAUUAGACUAGAGUAUAGUAGGGGUAAAGGGAAUUUCCAGUGGAGCGGUGAAAUGCGUAGAGAUUGGAAAGAACACCGAUGGCGAAGCACUUUACUGGGCUAUUACUAACACUCAGAGACGAAAGCUAGGGUAGCAAAUGGGAUUAGAUACCCCAGUAGUCCUAGCCGUAAACAAUGGAUACUAGAUGUUGAACAGAUCGACC